AUGUCUGAAAAAGCCCCAGGUGUGGCAGUGUUUCAUCCACAGCCUUCUGCCCAGGAGCUUGCAGUGUAGAAGUCUCUGGAGCCUUCUCCGCAUCAGCCCAGCCUCCAAAUCUGCAACAUUUUCAUUGCAAAGCCAUCUGGAGUUUAGAGGAGUAGUGCCCAGUCUCCCCAAAAGUGGGCGGCUUCGAUCCAAAGGCUGAGUGUGAAGUUAGACCAUCGACUUUAUUCUUGGUAGUGAUAGCUGAGCUCCUGGCCUCAGGCUAUGGCCUGUCCCGAGCUGGGUGGAGAGGACCUGGGGCUGAAUGCCGAUGCCAUUAAGAUAGAUACUGCAUAGCCGUGAGAAGGGAACGGCCAGAGAUCGUUCUGGCUCAUCCCCUUCUGACUCCAGCCACCGAUGGUGCUGUGUCCCAGCGCUGGUGAAUGGGCAGCAGGGCUCCGGAGCUGCUGACCCCUGCAGCAGGAACCCCCCAGGACCUUCAUCACCGGCCCCGGGGCUGGGGGCCGGGGCGGCUCUCGCAGGGCCGCGGGGAACGGAUGUCACCCCGGGCCAGUCACACCAGCGCCACGCCGUCCGUGACGCAGCUGCACCUCUCCACGAUCAUGUUGGGGAACUCGGCCGCCUCGAUCUCGGUGCUGUUGCCCCUCUUGACGAGGUAGAUGAUGGGCAGCGGGGAGCUCCCGGCCACGGCGCAGGAGCGCUGCCCGGAGCCGAGGCGGCGCAGGGCGCGGGGCGGCUGCGGGCAGCUCCCGGAGCAGCGGAACGCCUGGAACCCCGCCGGCUCCAGGAUCCAGUGCUGCGCCCAGGGCAGCUCGCGGAAGCUGAUGUAGUGCUUCUGCCGGCAGCAGGUGGAUUUCCCCAUCACCGCCUCCUCCCUGCAGUCCCCAGGGCUCCUGGACGCCGAGGGAGAAACAGGAAUGAGCGCUGUAACUGGAAACUGGGAAGCGGGAGAAAUCAUCCCUGCUGCUAAUAGCACGGCUGGGCUGUGAGACCCGAAACCUGGGCCGUGCCCAGGGUUUGUUUGAGUAUUCGGACAACAGAUAUGGGAAGAGGAGAGGUGAGAUUCAGCAGUAGCUUUCUAACUACUCCAUUCACAGCUGGUCAGCACUUGUGAGGGUAAGAGCUGCCUGCCCCGGGUUUGCCCACCCUGGGUUUGCACGCCUCCACAAAAAUUCGGGGACAGCUUUACACCAGAGACAGUACAGAUUUAGGUUUCAUACGUACCCAUAGUCAUCCAAGUUGAGGGUGUAAAGCACCAGCUCGGGCUUGCCUAGGGCUUUAUCCUUGGGGUCCUGCGAGGUGAAGCUCACGGCUUUGGCCAUUUCCGAGGCGUAGGUGCCCAUCCUUUCCCCCUCGAUCCACACCUCCAGGAACAUCGGCUCCUCCCUCUUGUUCCUCAGCCAGUAAUGCACGGCCUGGGUCACAUCAAAGCUCUUCCAGCCCGACUCACGAAUAGGAACCAGCCUGCAGGACAAGGGUUGGCAUUAGAAAAGCCCAUCAGAUAAACCCCGGGCUCAAAGUUAUUGCAACAGGGUAAUUUACUUCCUGUAGAUUGUCACAUGCCCUGAUUACACGAUCAUUUUUGCUCUGGGCGAGCACCCACAGCACUUAAUUGCUACCUCAGAACAAAGGAUGCAGAUCUAACAGACACUGAAGGGACAGAAAAAACCCUCUCUAUGUGCUCAUACAAAUAAAUUAGGUGGUGCAGGAUUAUGUGCAGCCUCAGUACUGGUGACAACCUGGCAAACACAAGACUCCCACCUGUUCCUGUCUGAGCUGCAUUAGGGCCAUAAGUGUCUAGGCCAGUCCAGUUCUGCCUUCAGGGGUUGCAAAACUUCCACUGAGCUCACCAUUACAAAAUCAGAGGUUUUUUGCAUAAUUUACUUGUUAAAACCAGCUAAUGAAAUGGCCAGUGGAAAGAAUAUCUGCAGCCACUAACCCAUUUGAGUUAGUGACAGAGAAUUGGGCCAGGUGGGGGAUUUUAGAGGGGAAGACAUAGCAGUACACGGCAUCAUUUCAUAGAUUAUUUCGAAGAAUCACCAUAUAUUGCAAUCUUAGCAUAAUAUCUGCUCUUAUAAGCUCAUUCUGUGUUUAGAGGCCAUAUAACCUGGUUGUACAGAUGUAAACCCCAUCAGACUGAGCUGAGGCACAACCACAUGAUACCCAAAUGCACCCCAGAGGGCCCAAACCCUGUAACUCCAGCAGAGGCCCCUUUCUUACCUGGAAUCUAUCAGGGAGGUCCUGUUGGUACCGUCGUGCUGCCGCUGCACCCAGUACACGCUGACUCUGGCGUUGGAGACGGGCCUGUGAGACUGCUUGGCAGGAAGGUUUGCUCUGUCCAGAGGCUUUUUGAAGAGUUUCAGUUCAGCCAUUGUGACUUCGCUGUUUUUAGGUAUUCUGCCCUCCAUGUCAAACAUCAGCUUCUGGCGUGUGGUUGUGUCGGAGUACAGGACUUCUCCCGUCAUGCCUGACGCAGUUGAGGACAAAAAAAGUUGGCCUGUCACUGCCAUCCUACUGAGCAAAGCCACCAUAUUUCAUGCACAAUUAUCACAACACACUCCUCCCAUGCUCCCAGCCCUUGUGGCAGAGACAGGCACUAAAUACACCUUUUCUAAUGCAUACUUGAAUCAAUGCCUUGCAAAUGCCCUAAUUAUUCUCCUAUCUGAGUCUCUGCAGCCUGGGAAAACUAAAACUCCGACAUAAUAUGACCUCAAAUUGAGCAGACCUCAAAAGAUGUGCACCUCUGUGCCGGUGCUGGGCAUGAAAGCAGGCAACUGCACCACUUGGAAUGAAAAAGUAUUUUCAUUUGCUGCCCAGGGUGCUGUAUAUGUCAUUUGAAAGCACAAUAAGCUCUAAGUGCCCUUGUGCAGUCACUGUUGUACCUGUAUGGCUAUUUUCCUCCUUGAUCAUUUUUCCUGUAAAAAACAAGCCUGAGCAAAAAAGAGAUGAGAGAGAGUGAAACAUCCCCCAAGAGGUGUGAUUUCUAUUAGAGGACUUGCUGUAGAUUUCCCCCAAAACCUACAUGGC